ensembl:misc_RNA Metazoa_SRP Metazoan signal recognition particle RNA
GUCGGGUGCAGUGGCGCGCGCCUGUAAUCCAAGCUGCUGGGAGGCUGAGGCUGGCGGAUCGCUUGAGUUCAGGGGUUCUGGGCUGCAGUGGACUAUGUCGAUCGGGUGUCCGCACUAAGUUCGGUAUCGAUAUGGUGCUCCUGGGGGAGCUCGGGACCACCAGGUCGUCUAAGGAGGGGUGAACCGGCCCAGGUCGGAGACGGAGCAGGUCAAAGCCCCCGUGUCGAUCAGUAGUGGGGUCGCGCCUGUGAAUAGACACUGCAGUGCAGCCUGAGCGAUACAGCGAGACUCAGACUUU